UACGUAGGGGGCAAGCGUUGUUCGGAAUUACUGGGCGUAAAGCGCACGUAGGCGGCUUUGUAAGUUAGAGGUGAAAGCCCGGAGCUCAACUCCGGAACUGCCUUUAAGACUGCAUCGCUAGAAUUGUGGAGAGGUGAGUGGAAUUCCGAGUGUAGAGGUGAAAUUCGUAGAUAUUCGGAAGAACACCAGUGGCGAAGGCGACUCACUGGACACAUAUUGACGCUGAGGUGCGAAAGCGUGGGGAGCAAACAGG
rnacentral:rRNA from 1 species